GACGAACGCUGGCGGCGUGCCUAAUACAUGCAAGUCGAGCGCAGGAAACUGACGGAACUCUUCGGAGGGAAGGCAGUGGAAUGAGCGGCGGACGGGUGAGUAACACGUAAGGAACCUGCCUCAAGGAUUGGGAUAACUCCGAGAAAUCGGAGCUAAUACCGGAUAGUUCAUCGGACCGCAUGGUCCGUUGAUGAAAGGCGCUCCGGCGUCACCUUGAGAUGGCCUUGCGGUGCAUUAGCUAGUUGGUGGGGUAACGGCCCACCAAGGCGACGAUGCAUAGCCGACCUGAGAGGGUGAUCGGCCACACUGGGACUGAGACACGGCCCAGACUCCUACGGGAGGCAGCAGUAGGGAAUCUUCCACAAUGGACGAAAGUCUGAUGGAGCAACGCCGCGUGAGUGAUGAAGGUUUUCGGAUCGUAAAGCUCUGUUGUAAGGGAAGAACACGUACGAGAGGAAAUGCUCGUACCUUGACGGUACCUUACGAGAAAGCCACGGCUAACUACGUGCCAGCCGCCGCCGUAA
rnacentral:rRNA from 1 species